UCAAAAACAUGUCUUUUUGAAAAUAAUUUAAAGUUUAAUCUGCCCACUGAUAUAUUUAUUAAAGGGCUGCAGUAUAUUGACUGUACAAAGGUAGCAUAAUCAUUAGUCUUUUAAUUGAAGACUUGUAUGAAAGAUUUGAUGAAAUAUAAACUGUCUCUAAUUUAAUAAUAAAAUUUAAUUUUUUAGUUAAAAAGCUAAAAUAAUAUUAAAAGACGAGAAGACCCUAUAAAGUUUUAUAAUUUAUUUAUUUAAUAUUAAAUAUAUAAUUAAUUAUAGUAAUUAUAUAAAAUUAUUUUAUUGGGGUGAUAGAAAAAUUUAAUAAACUUUUUUUAUAUUAUUAACAUAAAUAAGUGAAAAAAUGAUCCAUUAUUAAUGAUUAAAAGAAAAAAUUACUUUAGGGAUAACAGCGUAAUAUUUUUUUUUAGAACAAAUAAAAAAAAAAGUUUGCGACCUCGAUGUUGGAUUAAGAUAAAAUUUAAAUGCAAAAGUUUAAAAUUUUGAUCUGUUCGAUCAUUAAAAUCUUACAUGAUCUGAGCU
rnacentral:rRNA from 1 species